rnacentral:rRNA from 1 species
UCCCGUUGAUCCUGCGGGAGGUUGCUGCUAUCAGGAUUCGACUAAGCCAUGCAAGUCAUAGGGUUCUUCGGAACACUGGCAGACUGCUCAGUAACACGUCAAUAAUCUGCCCUUGGGUCUGGUAUAACCUCGGGAAACUGAGGCUAAGCCCGGAUAGGAAAUGCAAUCUGGAAUGAUGCUUCUCCAAAAGGCAACGCCCAAGGAUGAGUUGGCGGCCGAUUAGGCUGUUGGUGGGGUAAAGGCCCACCAAACCAAAGAUCGGUAGGGGCCUUGAGAGAGGUAGCCCCGAGAAGGGCACUGAGACACCGGCCCUAGCCCUACGGGGUGCAGCAGGCGCGAAACCUUUACAAUGCACGAAAGUGUGAUAAGGGGAUCCUGAGUGCUUAUACUUUGUAUAGGCUUUUUGCCAAGAGUAGAUACCUUGGCGAAUAAGUGGUGGGUAAGACUGGUGCCAGCCGCCGCGGUAACACCAGCGCCACGAGUAGCAACCGCUUUUAUUGGGCCUAAAGCGUUCGUAGCCGGUCUGAUAAAUUCUUUGUGAAAUUGUGGGGCUCAACCUCACAAUGUGCAGGGAACACUGUCAGACUAGGGACCGGGAGGGGUUAGGAGUAUUCUUGGGGGAGCGGUAAAAUGCUAUAAUCCCUUGAAGACUAUCUGUGGCGAAGGCGCCUAACCAGAACGGAUCCGACGGUCAGGAACGAAAGCUGGGGGAGCAAUCCGGAUUAGAUACCCGAGUAGUCCCAGCCGUAAACGCUGCGAGCUAGGUGUUGCAUAUUCUCCGAGAAUGUGCAGUGUCGAAGCGAAGGCGAUAAGCUCGCCGCCUGGGAAGUACGGUCGCAAGACUGAAACUUAAAGGAAUUGGCGGGGGAGCACUACAAGGGGUGCGGCGUGCGGUUUAAUCUAACUCCACACAGAGAAUCUCACCAGAGGCGACGGCAGGAUGAAGGUCAGUCUAACGGGCUUACUAGACGAGCCGAGAGGUAGUGCAUGGCCGCCGUCAGCUCGUGCCGUAAGGUAUCCUGUUAAGUCAGGCAACGAGCGAGACCUGCGCUCACAAUUGCUAGCGGCCACUUCGGUGGGACCGAGCACAUUAUGGGAACUGCCCUCGAAAGGGGGAGGAAGGUGCAGGCUACGGUAGGUCUGUAUGCUCCGAAUCCUCUGGGCUACACGCGCGCAACAAUGGUAGGGACAAUGGGAUACGACUCCGAAAGGAGAAGUUAAACCUCUAAACCCUAUCCAAGUUCAGAUUGAGGGCUGUAACUCGCCCUCAUGACGCUGGAAUCCCUAGUAAUCGGAUGUCAACAUCGUCCGGUGAAUAUGUCCCUGCUCCUUGCACACACCGCCCGUCAAACCAACCGAGCAGGGUUUAGGUGAGGCCUAGCCUUUUAGCUAUGUCGAAUCUAAGCUCAGUGAGGUGGGUUAAGUCGUCACAAGGUA